AUUGAACGCUGGCGGCAUGCCUUACACAUGCAAGUCGAACGGCAGCACGGGAGCAAUCCUGGUGGCGAGUGGCGGACGGGUGAGUAAUAUAUCGGAACGUGCCCAGUCGUGGGGGAUAACGCAGCGAAAGCUGUGCUAAUACCGCAUACGAUCUAAGGAUGAAAGCGGGGGAUCGCAAGACCUCGCGCGAUUGGAGCGGCCGAUAUCAGAUUAGCUAGUUGGUGGGGUAAAGGCCCACCAAGGCGACGAUCUGUAGCUGGUCUGAGAGGACGACCAGCCACACUGGAACUGAGACACGGUACAGACUCCUACGGGAGGCAGCAGUGGGGAAUUUUGGACAAUGGGCGCAAGCCUGAUCCAGCAAUGCCGCGUGCAGGAUGAAGGCCUUCGGGUUGUAAACUGCUUUUGUACGGAACGAAACGGCCCUUUCUAAUACAGGGGGCUAAUGACGGUACCGUAAGAAUAAGCACCGGCUAACUACGUGCCAGCAGCCGCCGUAA
rnacentral:rRNA from 1 species